UUUUCUUGCCGUCACASAACUUACGGAAUAAAUCUUAUUCUCAUUGCUCUCAUUUGUUGUUCUCAGUCAUUAACUUGAYGGAUUCGGUUCUGCCUGAAAGACCCCGUGGGCACCUUCCUCCAUCCCAGGGAUUGCCACAUCCCACCUGGAUUUCCUGAGCUGACUCCUGCAGGAGGGAGGGAAGAACACCACAAUCAGCGGGCAGGCAAGAUGAAGGCUGUGGUGUUGGUUUAGGAGCUGAAAGCAAGAGGAACAUUGUGUGCUGAUUUGGAUGGACAUGAUUCCAGCGCUUCCGGUUUAUAAGUGGUAAUUCUGUGAAGAGAUGCCCCUGAGGAAAGGUAUUAGUAUUUGCGUCAAGAAAUGGCUGCUGAACAGAUGAGAAACAAAAAAAUGGAGCAAAAUCAAUGUCAACUUACAGGGAGAAACGCAGGUUUAAUCACAAGAGGCUCCGGGAGGGCGACCCCGAUGACCA